rnacentral:misc_RNA from 1 species
GAUGAAGAACGUAGCGAAAUGCGAUAAGUAAUGUGAAUUGCAGAAUUCAGUGAAUCAUCGAAUCUUUGAACGCAUCUUGCGCUCCUUGGUAUUCUGAGGAGCAUGCCUGUUUGAGUGUCAUUAAAUUCUCAACUACACUGACUUUGAAUUGGUGUGGCUUGGAUUUGGGGGGAAAAUUGUUGUGGGCUUUUUGUAUAGUCUGCUCCCCUGAAAUUGAUUAGCGGUACCUUUGUGGAACUGUCUACAGGUGUGAUAAUUAUCUACAUCUUAGACAUCUGCUGGAAUGCUGCUUUCUAAACCUUACUUGUAUUGACAAUCUUGACCUCAGAUCAGGUAGGACUACCCGCUGAACUUAAGCAUAUCAAUAAGCGGAGGA